UGCAGUCGAACGGUAACAGGAAACAGCUUGCUGCUUCGCUGACGAGUGGCGGACGGGUGAGUAAUGUCUGGGAAACUGCCUGAUGGAGGGGGAUAACUACUGGAAACGGUAGCUAAUACCGCAUAACGUCGCAAGACCAAAGAGGGGGACCUUCGGGCCUCUUGCCAUCGGAUGUGCCCAGAUGGGAUUAGCUAGUAGGUGGGGUAACGGCUCACCUAGGCGACGAUCCCUAGCUGGUCUGAGAGGAUGACCAGCCACACUGGAACUGAGACACGGUCCAGACUCCUACGGGAGGCAGCAGUGGGGAAUAUUGCACAAUGGGCGCAAGCCUGAUGCAGCCAUGCCGCGUGUAUGAAGAAGGCCUUCGGGUUGUAAAGUACUUUCAGCGGGGAGGAAGGGAGUAAAGUUAAUACCUUUGCUCAUUGACGUUACCCGCAGAAGAAGCACCGGCUAACUCCGUGCCAGCAGCCGCGGUAAUACGGAGGGUGCAAGCGUUAAUCGGAAUUACUGGGCGUAAAGCGCACGCAGGCGGAUUGUUAAGUCAGAUGUGAAAUCCCCGGGCUCAACCUGGGAACUGCAUCUGAAACCGUCAAGCUUGAGUCUCAAUACAGGGGGGUACAAUUCCAUGUGUAGAGAUCUGAAGG
rnacentral:rRNA from 1 species